rnacentral:rRNA from 1 species
AUACGGAGGGUGCAAGCGUUAAUCGGAAUUACUGGGCGUAAAGCGUACGUAGGCGGUUCGUUAAGUUAGAUGUGAAAGCCCCGGGCUUAACCUGGGAACUGCAUUUAAAACUGGCGAACUAGAGUUGAGUAGAGGGGAGUGGAAUUUCAGGUGUAGCGGUGAAAUGCGUAGAGAUCUGAAGGAACACCAGUGGCGAAGGCGACUCCCUGGACUCGAACUGACGCUGAGGUACGAAAGCGUGGAUAGCAAACGGGAUUAGAAACCCUAGUAGUCC